rnacentral:rRNA from 23 species
AGCCCUUUGAAUAAAUAAAGGGUCACGCCUGCCCAGUGGCUCAAGGCUAAACGGCCGCGGUAUCUUGACCGUGCAAAGGUAGCAUAAUCAUUUGUCUUUUAAAUGGAGACUUGUAUGAACGGCAAAACCUUUUUUGACUGUCUCCCCCUCCGAACCUUCUAAAUUUCUACCUGCGUGAAGAAGCGCAGAAACAACAGAAAGACGAGAAGACCCUGUCGAGCUUUAGCUAACAGAUGAACAGAGACAACUUUACUGACAUCAUCCAAAAGCUUUGGUUGGGGCAACCAUGGAGAAAAAAAACCCUCCAGACACAAUAGGAGAACCCCAUUCCCUAUUUUCCCUAUAGAGAACCAGAAACUGGUAAUCGGAAAAAGUUACCGCAGGGAUAACAGCGUCAUCCCCUCUGAGAGUCCUUAUUGACGAGGGGGUUUGCGACCUCGAUGUUGGAUUGGGGCCUCCUUAGGGUGCAGAAGCUCUAAACGGUUAGACUGUUCGUCUAUUAAAGCCCU